AAUAUUGGACAAUGGGGGCAACCCUGAUCCAGCCAUGCCGCGCGUGUGAAGAAGGNCUNNCGAUUNUNAAGCACUUUAAGUCGNNNNNAAGGGCUUUAGGCUAAUACCCUGAAGUUUUGACGUUACCAACCGAAUAAGCACCGGCUAUCCCAGUGCCAGCAGCCGCGGUAAUACAGAGGGUGCAAUCGUUAAUCGGAAUUACUGGGCGUAAAGCGCGCGUAGUUGGUUCAGUAAGAUGGGUGUGAAAUCCCCGGGAUUAACCUGGGAACUGCUGUCAUAGCUGCUGAGCUGGAGUACGGUAGAGGGUAGUGGAAUUUCCUGUGUAGCGGUGAAAGGCGUAGAUAUAGGAAGGAACACCAGUGGCGAAGGCGACUACCUGGAAUGAUACUGACACUGAGGUGCGAAAGCGUGGGGAGCAA
rnacentral:rRNA from 1 species